rnacentral:rRNA from 1 species
GUAGGGAAUCUUCCACAAUGGACGAAAGUCUGAUGGAGCAACGCCGCGUGAGUGAAGAAGGUCUUCGGAUCGUAAAACUCUGUUGUUAGAGAAGAACGUGCAUGAUAGUAACUGAUCAUGUAAUGACGGUAUCUAACCAGAAAGCCACGGCUAACUACGUGCCAGCAGCCGCGGUAAUACGUAGGUGGCAAGCGUUGUCCGGAUUUAUUGGGCGUAAAGGGAACGCAGGCGGUUUUUUAUGUCUGAUGUGAAAGCCUUCGGCUUAACCGAAGAAUAGCAUUGGAAACUGGAAGACUUGAGUGCAGAAGAGGAGAGUGGAAUUCCAUGUGUAGCGGUGAAAUGCGUAGAUAUAUGGAGGAACACCAGUGGCGAAAGCGGCUCUCUGGUCUGUAACUGACGCUGAGGUUCGAAAGCGUGGGUAGCAAACAGGAUUAGAAACCCUUGUAGUCC